rnacentral:rRNA from 1 species
AACGAACGCUGGCGGCAGGCCUAACACAUGCAAGUCGAGCGAAGCCUUCGGGCUUAGCGGCGGACGGGUGAGUAACGCGUGGGAACGUGCCCUUUGGUACGGAAUAGCUCCGGGAAACUGGGAGUAAUACCGUAUGUGGUCGAGAGACGAAAGAUUUAUCGCCAAAGGAUCGGCCCGCGUUGGAUUAGGUAGUUGGUGGGGUAAUGGCCUACCAAGCCGACGAUCCAUAGCUGGUUUGAGAGGAUGAUCAGCCGCACUGGGACUGAGACACGGCCCAGACUCCUACGGGAGGCAGCAGUGGGGAAUCUUAGACAAUGGGGGAAACCCUGAUCUAGCCAUGCCGCGUGAUCGAUGAAGGCCUUAGGGUUGUAAAGAUCUUUCAGUGGGGAAGAUAAUGACUGUACCCACAGGAGAAGCCCCGGCUAACUCCGUGCCAGCAGCCGCCGCAG